UUACGAUUGACGGAGCGAAGCGACGUCAAAGCGUAUACAAAGUCGAGUCGGUUUAAGGAUACGUUCGUUGGGUAGGGGAGCGUUCUGUAAGCCUGUGAAGGUGGCCUGUGAGGGUUGCUGGAGGUAUCAGAAGUGCGAAUGCUGACAUAAGUAACGAUAAAGCGGGUGAAAAGCCCGCUCGCCGGAAGACCAAGGGUUCCUGUCCAACGUUAAUCGGGGCAGGGUGAGUCGACCCCUAAGGCGAGGCCGAAAGGC
rnacentral:rRNA from 1 species